rnacentral:rRNA from 1 species
AGUGAACGCUGGCGGUAGGCCUAACACAUGCAAGUCGAACGGCAGCACAGUAAGAGCUUGCUCUUACGGGUGGCGAGUGGCGGACGGGUGAGGAAUACAUCGGAAUCUACUUUUUCGUGGGGGAUAACGUAGGGAAACUUACGCUAAUACCGCAUACGACCUACGGGUGAAAGCAGGGGAUCUUCUGACCUUGCGCGAUUGAAUGAGCCGAUGUCGGAUUAGCUAGUUGGCGGGGUAAAGGCCCACCCAGGCGACGAUCCGUAGCUGGUCUGAGAGGAUGAUCAGCCGCACUGGAACUGAGACACGGUCCAGAGUCCUACGGGAGGCAGCAGUGGGGAAUAUUGGACAAUGGGCGCAAGCCUUAUCCAGCCAUACCGCGUGGGUGAAGAAGGCCUUCGGGUUGUAAAGCCCUUUUGUUGGGAAAGAAAAGCAGCAGGUUAAUACCCCGCUGUUCUGACGGUACCCAAAGAAUAAGCACCGGCUAACUUCGUG